UAAAAACACCGGUUCUCGUUCGAUCACCGCAUCGUAGAGCCAGGUCAGUACUUAGAUGGGGGACCGCUUGGGAACACCUGGUACUGUAAG